rnacentral:rRNA from 1 species
UACAGAGGUCUCAAGCGUUGUUCGGGUUCAUUGGGCGUAAAGGGUGUGUAGGUGGCGCGCUAAGUCGGGUGUGAAAUUUCGGAGCUUAACUCCGAAACUGCAUUCGAUACUGGCGUGCUUGAGGACUGGAGAGGAGACUGGAAUUCAUGGUGUAGCAGUGAAAUGCGUAGAGAUCAUGAGGAAGACCAGUGGCGAAGGCGGGUCUCUGGACAGUUCCUGACACUGGGACACGAAGGCCAGGGGAGCAAACGGG